UACAGAGGUCUCAAGCGUUGUUCGGAUUCAUUGGGCGUAAAGGGUGCGUAGGCGGCCUGGUAGGUCAGCUGUGAAAACUCGAGGCUCAACCUCGAGACGCCGGUUGAAACCAUCAGGCUAGAGUCCGGAAGAGGAGAGUGGAAUUCCCGGUGUAGCGGUGAAAUGCGCAGAUAUCGGGAAGAACACCCGUGGCUAAGGCGGCUCUCUAGUACGGUACUGACGCUGAGACGCGAAAGCGUGGGGAGCGAACAGG
rnacentral:rRNA from 1 species